rnacentral:tRNA from 1 species
GCUAUUGUGGCACAGUGCUUUGAGUGUUGGAUUAUGAUUCUGGAGACCAGGGUUCGAUUCCCAGCCCAGGUA